rnacentral:misc_RNA from 1 species
UAGAGGAAGUAAAAGUCGUAACAAGGUCUCCGUUGGUGAACCAGCGGAGGGAUCAUUACAGGACUCGCAAGACUCCCGUAACCAUCGUGAACCUACAAACCGUUGCCUCGGCGGGUGCACCGCGGGCGCUGCUCCUCCUCGGGGGGGCGGCCGCCCGGGGCGCAUCCCAAGCCCGCCGGCGGCCCACCAACUCUUUGUUUCCAUACCCCUGAGAAUCUCCGAGUACAAAACACAAACGAAUCAAAACUUUCAACAACGGAUCUCUUGGUUCUGGCAUCGAUGAAGAACGCAGCGAAAUGCGAUAAGUAAUGUGAAUUGCAGAAUUCAGUGAACCAUCGAAUCUUUGAACGCACAUUGCGCCCGCCGGUAUUCCGGCGGGCAUGCCUGUCCGAGCGUCAUUGCAACCCUCAGGUCCCGCGCCUGGUGUUGGGGCCCUGCGCGGCAGGCCCCGAAAGACAGCGGCGGGUGCGUCCCGGAACCGAACGCAGUAGCUAUACCUCGUUCCGGCCCGGUGGCGUACGCCAGCCGUAAAACGCUCUCCAGCUUUUUACCAAAGUUGACCUCGGAUCAGGUAGGAAUACCCGCUGAACUUAA